rnacentral:rRNA from 1 species
UACAGAGGUCUCAACCGUUGUUUCGGAUUCAUUGGGCGUAAAGGGUGUGUAGGUGGCGCCGUAAGUCGGGUGUGAAAUUUCGGAGCUUAACUCCGAAACUGCAUUCGAUACUGCGGUGCUUGAGGACUGGAGAGGAGACUGGAAUUCAUGGUGUAGCAGUGAAAUGCGUAGAGAUCAUGAGGAAGACCAGUGGCGAAGGCGGGUCUCUGGACAGUUCCUGACGCUGAGGCACGAAGGCCAGGGGAGCAAACGGG